UAGGGAAUAUUGGGCAAUGGAGGGAACUCUGACCCAGCCAUGCCGCGUGCAGGAUGAAGGCGUUAUGCGUUGUAAACUGCUUUUAUAUAGGAAGAAAUAGUCCUUGCGAGGAAAGUUGACGGUACUAUAUGAAUAAGCACCGGCUAACUCCGUGCCAGCAGCCGCGGUAAUACGGAGGGUGCAAGCGUUGUCCGGAUUUAUUGGGUUUAAAGGGUGCGUAGGCGGUUUAUUAAGUCAGUGGUGAAAGACGGUCGCUCAACGAUUGCAGUGCCAUUGAUACUGGUAGACUUGAGUAUGAUUGAGGUAGCUGGAAUGAAUAGUGUAGCGGUGAAAUGCAUAGAUAUUAUCCAGAACACCAAUUGCGUAGGCAAGUUACUAAGUCAUAACUGACGCUGAGGCACGAAAGUGUGGGUAUCAAACAGGAUUAGAUACCCGGGUAGUCCCUGAGCGGGCUGGCAAGGCGCAU
rnacentral:rRNA from 1 species